rnacentral:lncRNA from 1 species
CAGAGUGAACAAUAAGCAAUGCAAUCCAGUUCUUUCUAGUGAGACACAGAUGUUUGCAAAUGUUCUUAGCCUGAAGAGAAUUUUGUUCAAGAGUGAUGUUAGAGAGUAUUUGAGAGGUGUUAGAAACAUAUUGGCAAACUGAAACCUUCUCCUCAACUUACACAGAAGAGGUUCUGGAGAACUAAAAGGGACAUAACUUUCUCAGCAUGUGAUUGGAUAUUUAUUUAAAGCCGUGUCCUGAUUUGAAGCCACAUCCUGUCUACUCCACUGAAAUGUCUGUUCGACUAACACAUCCUACAUGUCACUACCAGAUUUGUUUCCAUCAGACAGUGACUUAAACAUAGCAUCCCCUUAGCACAACACCUCCCAGUAGCUCUCUAUUGUCCUCCUGUAUCCAAAUGGCACCAACACCUCAGAAACAUUCAGUCUGGACACUAUGGAAAGGUCUAAAGUUCCAUAUUUAGUUCUUGAUUUGCUAUAAGUGACCUUGAUUAAGCCCUUUAAAUUUCUUCUUAACUUCAGUUUGUGCCCAAGUGCAUCAACACUUGCCCUCACUACCUCCUG